rnacentral:rRNA from 1 species
AGAGUUUGAUCCUGGCUCAGAACGAACGCUGGCGGCGUGCUUAACACAUGCAAGUCGAACGGGAUCCAGAGCUUGCUCUGGUGAGAGUGGCGCACGGGUGAGUAACGCGUGGAUAACCUGCCCUGGUAUCUGGAAUAACAUCUCGAAAGGGGUGCUAAUACCGGAUAAGCCUACGGAGCCUUCGGUCUCUGCAGGAAAAGGUGGCCUCUAUUUAUAAGCUACCGUAUCAGGAUGGGUCCGCGUACCAUUAGCUAGUUGGUAGGGUAAUGGCCUACCAAGGCUACGAUGGUUAGCUGGUCUGAGAGGAUGAUCAGCCACACUGGAACUGAGACACGGUCCAGACUCCUACGGGAGGCAGCAGUGGGGGAUUUUGCGCAAUGGGGGAAACCCUGACGCAGCAACGCCGCGUGAGUGAUGAAGGCUUUCGGGUCGUAAAGCUCUGUCAGUAGGGAAGAAAUGAGACGUGCUAAUACCACGUUUUCUUGACGGUACCUACAAAGGAAGCACCGGCUAACUCCGUGCCAGCAGCCGCGGUAAUACAAGG